rnacentral:rRNA from 1 species
CUACGGGAGGCUGCAGUGAGGAAUAUUGCACAAUGGAGGAAACUCUGAUGCAGCAACGCCGCGUGGAGGAUGACGCAUUUCGGUGUGUAAACUCCUUUUAUAUGUCAAGAAAAUGACGGUAGCAUAUGAAUAAGCACCGGCUAACUCCGUGCCAGCAGCCGCGGUAAUACGGAGGGUGCAAGCGUUACUCGGAAUCACUGGGCGUAAAGGACGCGUAGGCGGGAUAUCAAGUCAGGUGUGGAAUCCUACAGCUUAACUGUAGAACUGCACUUGAAACUGGUAACCUAGAGUAUGGGAGGGGGAGAUGGAAUUAGUGGUGUAGGGGUAACAUCCGUAGAUAUCACUAGGAAUACCUAAAGCGAAGGCGAUCUCCUGGAACAUUACUGACGCUAAGGCGUGAAAGCGUGGGGAGCAAACAGGAUUAGAUACCCCCGUAGUC